GGUGGUUCCAUUCCCACCUUUCCCAGGAAUCUCCAUACUGCUUUCCAAAUUGGCCGCACCAGUUUGCAGUCCCACCAGCAAUGUGCAAGAGUACCCUUUUCCCCACAUCCUCACCAGCACUUGUUGUUGUUUGACUUCAUAAUGGCUGCCAAUCUUACUGGAGUGAGAUGGUAUCUAAGAGUUAAUAACAAGAAUCAACAAAUGGGACUUACUUAAACUGAAAAGUUUUUUUCUCAGCAAGAGAAACAAUAAGAGAGGUAAAUAGGGAGCCUACAUCAUGGGAACAAAUUUUUACUCCUCACACUUCAGAUAGAGCCCUAAUAUCCAG
rnacentral:lncRNA from 1 species